rnacentral:rRNA from 1 species
CCUACGGGUGGCUGCAGUGGGGAAUCUUGGACAAUGGGCGCAAGCCUGAUCCAGCCAUGCCGCGUGAGUGACGAAGGCCUUAGGGUUGUAAAGCUCUUUUGCCAGGGACGAUAAUGACGGUACCCGGAGAAUAAGUCCCGGCUAACUUCGUGCCAGCAGCCGCGGUAAUACGAAGGGGACUAGCGUUGUUCGGAAUUACUGGGCGUAAAGCGCACGUAGGCGGAUUUGUCAGUCAGGGGUGAAAUCCCGGAGCUCAACUUCGGAACUGCCUUUGAUACAGCAAGUCUCGAGUCCGAUAGAGGUGGGUGGAAUUCCUAGUGUAGAGGUGAAAUUCGUAGAUAUUAGGAAGAACACCGGUGGCGAAGGCGGCCCACUGGAUCGGUACUGACGCUGAGGUGCGAAAGCGUGGGGAGCAAACAGGCUUAGAUACCCUGGUAGUC